AGACAUGCAAGUCGAACGAGCCUUCGGGCUAGUGGCGGACGGGUGAGUAACACGUGGGAACGUACCUUUAGGUUCGGAAUAACGCAGAGAAAUUUGCGCUAAUACCGAAUGUGCCCUUCGGGGGAAAGAUUUAUCGCCUUUAGAGCGGCCCGCGUUAGAUUAGCUAGUUGGUGAGGUAAAGGCUCACCAAGGCUACGAUCUAUAGCUGGUCUGAGAGGAUGAUCAGCCACAUUGGGACUGAGACACGGCCCAAACUCCUACGGGAGGCAGCAGUGGGGAAUCUUGCGCAAUGGUCGAAAGACUGACGCAGCCAUGCCGCGUGAAUGAUGAAGGUCUUAGGAUUGUAAAAUUCUUUCAGCAGGGACGAUAAUGACGGUACCUGCAGAAGAAGCCCCGGCUAACUUCGUGCCAGCAGCCGCGGUAAUACGAAGGGGGCUAGCGUUGCUCGGAAUUACUGGGCGUAAAGGGAGCGUAGGCGGGUUAUCAAGUUGGAGGUGAAAGCCCAGGGCUCAACCUUGGAAUUGCCUUCAAAACUGAUAGCCUAGAGUAUGAUAGAGGUAAGUGGAACUCCGAGUGUAGAGGUGAAAUUCGUAGAUAUUCGGAAGAACACCAGUGGCGAAGGCGACUUACUGGAUCAUGACUGACGCUGAGGCUCGAAAGCGUGGGGAGCAAACAGGAUUAGAUACCCUGGUAGUCCACGCUGUAAACGAUGAUUGCUAGUUGUCAGCCGGCAUGCCGGUUGGUGACGCAGCUAACGCAUUAAGCAAUCCGCCUGGGGAGUACGGUCGCAAGAUUAAAACUCAA
rnacentral:rRNA from 1 species